rnacentral:rRNA from 1 species
CCUACGGGUGGCAGCAGUGAGGAAUAUUGGUCAAUGGGCGAGAGCCUGAACCAGCCAAGUCGCGUGAGGGAGUACUGCCCUAUGGGUUGUAAACUUCUUUUAUAAAGGAAUAAAGUGAGGCACGUGUGCCUUUUUGUAUGUACUUUAUGAAUAAGGAUCGGCUAACUCCGUGCCAGCAGCCGCGGUAAUACGGAGGAUCCGAGCGUUAUCCGGAUUUAUUGGGUUUAAAGGGAGCGUAGAUGGGUUGUUAAGUCAGUUGUGAAAGUUUGCGGCUCAACCGUAAAAUUGCAGUUGAAACUGGCAGUCUUGAGUACAGUAGAGGUGGGCGGAAUUCGUGGUGUAGCGGUGAAAUGCUUAGAUAUCACGAAGAACUCCGAUUGCGAAGACAGCUCACUGGACUGCAACUGACACUGAUGCUCGAAAGUGUGGGUAUCAAACAGGAUUAGAUACCCGGGUAGUC